CCCCGCCGGGAGCGGAAGUAGGGCCGGCGGACGUAAAUUGUACGUCUGAGGUCACUUCCGGACGUCGGAGCGUUUCAAAAUGGCGGCUGCUUUGCUGAGACAUGUGGGUCAGCGUUGCCUGUGGACUCGGCUCGGCCCCAGCCUUUCUGUGCGACACGUGGUCCCCAUGGGAACAGCAGCAAAGGAGGAGAUGGCUCAAUUUUGGGAUAAAAAUACCCAGUCGAACCGUCCCAUGUCCCCUCAUAUCACCAUCUACAAGUGGUCUCUGCCUAUGAUGAUGUCCAUCGGCCACCGUGGCACUGGUGUUGCAAUGAGUGCAGGAGUCUCUCUCUUUGGCCUGGCUGCCUUGAUUCUCCCAGAACAGUUCCCCUAUUACCUGGCAUUUGUGAAAUCGCUUAGCCUGGGGCCUGCUCUUAUCUACUCUGCUAAGUUUGCUUUGGCUUUCCCCCUUACGUAUCACACCUGGAACGGAAUCCGACACCUUAUGUGGGACAUGGGAAAAGGAUUUAAGAUUCCCCAAGUCUACCAGUCUGGAGUCCUGGUCCUGGUCUUGACGCUGCUUUCCUCUGCUGGACUCGCAGCCAUGUGACGGCAUCUUCCUCGUGAAGCCCUCCCUUCUCCUACAAGGAUUUGAUUCAUCUGGUGAUCUGGUCCAGACAGAGCUCACUAUCCUAGGCCAGCGAGUUCCCAGAACACCCUUCCAGAAUGCCACGGGCAGGAGUCCCAGUCCAGGAUGUUCAAGACUCUAGGUAGCCUCAAGCAGCUGGUAACUGACAGCUGAUUAGCAGUUGAUUCCAAUCCACCUAGAGCAUGCUAAGGAGCUGCCUUCCUUAAUUCAUUGCUGUUCUCAGACUAACUCUGGUUCACUUGCUUUCUGCUCUGCCCUGAAGCUUGAGACAAUACUGGCACUGUGUGCCCCCUCACUGGGCCUGAGCAGGGUUGGGGGAGGAGACGCGAGUGCCUCUAGCCUAGCGUCUGUGUGUAGGCUCACGUAAAAGACAACUGUCCCCAUUGAUGCUGGUGCUGGUUCUAGGGCAAGCACUGACUGAGCCGCCGACGCCAGCGCCCGUGAUGCUAGUAAGAGGAAUAAGGAAUUUGAUGCUGUCCUGGGUACAAUGCCUAACUGCUGGAAUCUGGCUUUCUGCUGCAGUCAGCAUCCUGUGAGCUUUACAGUGGGGAGAGGGGCAGCCUCUAGUGCUUGGGAGCUGGGUAUGUUGAGUUCAAAGUGCUCUGUGCAGCAGCUCACAACUCUUCCAGCAGAUCAAGGAUAAGCACCCGUAUAUUUUUUGAGUCUUCAAUCAAAUCUUAUCUUUUUUUUUUCCCUCUGAAAAUCUGUUCUUUGAACCUUUUGGAUGACUGCCAAUGCCACGGUCUCCCCCCACUGUGUACUGUCACUCCGGCCCAUGUGUUUGUAACAGACCCACCCUCCCCAGUAAAGCAGGCUUGCUCUUUCACACUGCAUGCUGGCAGCUGAGUUCAUGUUACAGAUUUUCAAAUGAGCUGCCAUUUUGGAUUUUCGAUAGAUUCUAAUGACACAUCUGAAAUCUGAACAGAGACACAUGGAGAAUUUACCCUGAGUGAAUGGAGAAUGUCGUGUUCUCUUCAGAGAAGCAGUGCAGAGGUGUGUGGUAUGACAUGGGAGUCGGGGCCCUCUGAUCUCAUGUUAUGGAGCCCAUAGUGACUGGCUACCCCUUGGGUAUGCAGCUGAGAAGCCUGACACUGUGGGCCUGCACCCCAUGGUCAUUUACACUGAUGUGAAAUGCUCCCGGCUCAGUGUGGUGGCAUUUUAGACCCAGUCUGUGCUCACUUUGUGCUAGUGCCCCAGGUGCAGGCUGCUGAAGAGCCCGCCCAGGGGGCUAGAGAUUGCUGCUAAAAUCCAAUGUGCUCCAGUAGUUGCAUUUACACUUGGAGACUUGGUUCUGCUCUAACAAGUGACUGUAAAAAUGGCCCCUUCCUAUUUAGGGGCUCUGCCUCCUCUGUGGAGCAGUUGGAGCUGUUGACUCUGUCUGUAGGAGGGGUUUUCCUCCCCCUCCUGUUGAUGCUGUGGAGCCAGCAUGGACUGUUCUGAAACAUGAAUUCCGCUGUCUCCAGAGUGGCUCUAGGACCAGCAAUAGCAGCACAAGGUUUCUCCCACACAGUUCUUCAGCUCUGGGUGCUUUGGUGUCCAAUGCCUCGUGAGGGUUCAGCCUCGGAGAGUAACAGUGAGGUUAUAACUCCCCUGACAGCGCUAGGCCCUAGUGUGUACUACCUGCAGAUGCAUUUACCACUGGGUUGUCAUGGGGUUAAGAUGCCUGUGGCUAUAACCACUCGAGCCUGUGCUGGUGGCAGAGCAGUGUGUGUGUGGGGUGCCCUAUAACUGUCAGUGAAGGUGCAGACCCAGAGAGGCAGUGGUGCAUGGGCACCUCUCUCAGAGGAGGCAGAGAGAUGAUCCCCCUUCCCUUCCAAAGUCAUGGAGCCAGCAAACAGCGCUGCCUUUUGGUGGCUACCAGUUUUAGUCUUUCACUGGUAAUUUCCCCACCCCAAGUGAGCCAGUGAGUAGUGACCAAACAGAAGCAUGGACUGAUCUGGAAGCCCCAGUGGUAAGGUCAGGGCCUGAUGCAAGUGGUGACCAUGGACAGAGGAGUGUCUGCUUAAAGUGCCCUGAAAAGCAUUUAUGCAAGAUGGGGUGAGGGCACCAUGUCUGUGCUGGAUCAGGAGGCCUGGCAGGGGCUGAAAGGGUAUUUUGCUUUUAGAAAUAUUAGCAACGUCCAGUCUGCUUGUCCUGGUUUUGCUGGGGGAUGUCUGUCCGGGGGUUUCAGGAUAUCUAUGAAGGGAGCACUAAAAGCCCUAGUUAAACGGGAAGGGGCGGAGGCUUUGGCAAAGGCUUCCUUUAUCCAAAGGGUUAGUCACUGACAUUAGAUUCAUAAAUUCCAAGGCCAGAAAGGACGACUGUGAUCAUCUUGUCUGACCCCUGGGAUAACACAGGAGAGAGACGCCUCAACAUAAUUCGUAGAGCAGAACUUUUAGAAAAAUGUCCAAACUUGAUCUAAAAAUUGUCACAAGGGAGAAUCCACCCUUACCCUUGGUAAAUUGUUCCAGUGUUUAAUUACUCUCAUAGUUAAAAAUUUACACUUUAUUUUCAGUCUGACUUUUUCUUGCUUCAACUUCCACGCCCUCAGUCAUGUUAUACUUUUCUCUGAUACACGGAAGAGCUCAUUAUUAAAUGUUUGUUCCCCAUGUAGAUACUUACAGACUUUGAUCAAAUCACCCCUUAACCCUCUUUUUAUUAAACUAAGUAGAUUGACCACCUUGAGUCCAUCACUGUAAGGCAUGUUUUCUAAUCCUUUAAUCGUUCUCAUGGCUUUCCAAACCCUCCCCAAUUUAUCAAUAUCCUCCUUGAAUUCUGGACAUCAGAACUGGACACAGGAUUCCAGCAGCAGUCGUAUCAGUGCCAAGUAUAGAGGUAAAAUAACCCCUCUACUUCUACUCGAGAUUCCAGCUUAUGCAUCCAGAGAUUGAGCUGAUUAUCCACCAUGAUCCUCCAGUCUUUUUCACAGUCAGUGCUUCCCAGGAAAAGAGUCCCCCGUUGUGCAUGUGACUGACAUUCAUUGUUCUUAGAUGUAUAUGUUUACAUUUAGCCAUGUUAAAAUGCAUAUUGUUUGCUUCUGCCCGGUUUACCAAAUAUCCAGAUUGCUGUGUCA